UACGGAGGGUGCGAGCGUUGUCCGGAAUCACUGGGCGUAAAGGGCGCGUAGGCGGCCUGAUAAGUAGGGGUGAAAGUCCUGCGGCUUAACCGUAGGGCUGCCUUCUAAACUGUCGGGCUAGAGCACGGUAGAGGCAGAUGGAAUUCCCGGUGUAGCGGUGGAAUGCGUAGAGAUCGGGAAGAACAUCAGUGGCGAAGGCGGUCUGCUGGGCCGUUGCUGACGCUGAGGCGCGACAGCGUGGGGAGCAAACAGG
rnacentral:rRNA from 1 species